rnacentral:rRNA from 1 species
UGGGGAAUAUUGCACAAUGGGCGCAAGCCUGAUGCAGCCAUGCCGCGUGUGUGAAGAAGGCCUUCGGGUUGUAAAGCACUUUCAGCGAGGAGGAAGGUGGUGAGCUUAAUACGCUCAUCAAUUGACGUUACUCGCAGAAGAAGCACCGGCUAACUCCGUGCCAGCAGCCGCGGUAAUACGGAGGGUGCAAGCGUUAAUCGGAAUUACUGGGCGUAAAGCGCACGCAGGCGGUUUGUUAAGUCAGAUGUGAAAUCCCCGGGCUCAACCUGGGAACUGCAUUUGAAACUGGCAAGCUAGAGUCUCGUAGAGGGGGGUAGAAUUCCAGGUGUAGCGGUGAAAUGCGUAGAGAUCUGGAGGAAUACCGGUGGCGAAAGGCGGCCCCCUGGACGAAGACUGACGCUCAGGUGCGAAAGCGUGGGGCAGCAAACAGGAUUAGAUACCCUGGUAGUCCACGCUGUAAACGAUGUCGAUUUUGGAGGUUGUGCCCUUGAGGCGUGGCUUCCGGAGCUAACGCGUUAAA